rnacentral:lncRNA from 1 species
CCGGAGACUCCUACUUGAUAUGGGCAGUUUAAAGCCACUUUCCCUUUAAAUUUUUCUGUGACAACUCUUUUCAUGGAGAAUGAAAAGACUCUCGUUAAGUGUUGCCAUUCAGAAGUGUUGGCGGUCGUUGCUAACAUGAGAUCCAACAAGAAAUGGUGAAAAUGCACAAUGCCUCAGGACACCUUGAGGAAGGAGCAGCGUGUUGCUGCCGAGGGUGAACACACGUGGUCUCUGCGGAGAGGCGACAGAUCUCCCUGGGCGUCAGUCAUCCUGGGACUGGGUGUCGUGGAAGAAGGUGACACCAGGCAGAAACCAAGAGCAGGGGAGCUGCAGGCCGGCAUCAGAGCCCGUAUCAGAGCAGAGUGGCCCCUGAG